UGAAUACGAGAUGCUACGGCGUCGAAGCAGUCUAUGUCAUACUUCCAAGAAAAGCUUGCACUGUCAUAAACAAAUAAUGCCUGUACCAUAACCGACACAGGUGGGUAGGUAGAGUAUACUAAGGGGCGCGAGAUAACUCUCUCUAAGGAACUCGGCAAAAUGACUCCGUAACUUCGGGAGAAGGAGUGCCUUAUUUAUAAGGUUGCAAUAACAAGAUCCAAGCAACUGUUUACCAAAAACACAGGUCUCCGCUAAGUCGUAAGACGAUGUAUGGGGGCUGACGCCUGCCCAGUGCCAGAAGGUUAAAGAAGUUGGUUAGCAUCCGCGAAGCUGAUAACUGAAGCCCUGGUGAACGGCGGCCGUAACUAUAACGGUCCUAAGGUAGCGAAAUUCCUUGUCGGGUAAGUUCCGACCCGCACGAAAGGCGUAAUGAUUUGGAUACUGUCUCGGAGAGGGGCUCGGUGAAAUAGACUUGUCUGUGAAGAUGCGGACUACCUGCACCAGGACAGAAAGACCCUAUGAAGCUUUACUGUAACCUGAAAUUGAAAUUGGACUUUACUUGCGCAGUAUAGGUGGGAGGCGUUGAGAAUAUUCUUGCGGGAUUAUUGGAGCCAUCAGUGAGAUACCACUCUUGUAAUGUUAGAUUUCUAACUUUGUAUCAUUAUCUGGUCAAAGAACAGUUUCAGGCGGGCAGUUUGACUGGGGCGGUCGCCUCCUAAACGGUAACGGAGGCGCACAAAGGUUUCCUCUGAACGGGUAGAAAUCGUAUCUAGAGUGUAAAGGCAUAAGGAAGCUUGACUGUGAGACCUACAAGUCGAGCAGGGACGAAAGUCGGUCUUAGUGAUCUGACGGUGCUGAGUGGAAAGGCCGUCACUCAACGGAUAAAAGUUACUCUAGGAUAACAGGCUGAUCUCCCCCAAGAGUUCACAUCGACGGGGAGGUUUGGCACCUCGAUGUCGGCUCAUCGCAUCCUGGGGCGGUAGUACGUCCCAAGGGUUGGGCUGUUCGCCCAUGAAAGCGGUACGCGAGCUGGGUUCAGAACGUCGUGAGACAGUUCGGUCCAUAUCCGGUGUAGGCGUUAGAAUAUUGAGAGGAGCCUUCUUUAGUACGAGAGGACCGAGAAGGACAUACCUCUGGUGUACCAGUUAUCGAGCCAACGGUAAACGCUGGGUAGCUAUGUGUGGAGUGGAUAACCGCUGAAAGCAUCUAAGUGGGAAGUCCACCUCAAGAUAAGUAUUCUCAUU
rnacentral:rRNA from 1 species